rnacentral:rRNA from 1 species
GACGAACGCUGGCGGCGUGCUUAACACAUGCAAGUCGAACGGAAAGGCCCUGCUUUUGUGGUGUGCUCGAGUGGCGAACGUGUGAGUAACACGUGCGUAACCUGCCCUGCACUGUGGUAUAUCUUCGGGAAACUGGGUCUAAUCGCAGACAGCAUCUCCUGGCACAUGGGGGGGGGUGGAAAUUUUCGGCGGUUGGGGAUGGACUCGCGGCUUAUCAGCUUGUUGGUGGGGUAGUGGCUUACCAAGGCUUUGACGGGUAGCCGGCCUGAGAGGGUGACCGGCCACAUUGGGACUGAGAUACGGCCCAGACUCCUACGGGAGGCAGCAGUGGGGAAUAUUGCACAAUGGGCGGAAGCCUGAUGCAGCAACGCCGCGUGCGGGAUGAAGGCCUUCGGGUUGUAAACCGCUUUCGCCUGUGACGAAGCGUGAGUGACGGUAAUGGGUAAAGAAGCACCGGCUAACUACGUG